AAAAUGUGUUUGACAGGAAUCUGAACGAGAGGAGGGGGUAGCGGCACACGAGUGGAAAUCCGCACCUUCAAGAGAGACACCCCCCCCCCCCCCCCCUCGCGUGCAGACUAUUAAUCGCGGGGAGGCGAAUGCGGUGAAUUAUUUGGAGGCUCAGCAACAGGGCACACAGAGUACAUGAUGCCGCUGAUUGUAUCAACCCCGCGCGUGGGGGGCUCCCGCGACUAACGCCGCGCAAAGUAACCAAAAAGGAGAAUGCGAAUGGUUAGAGAGGACAGGAUUCAAUUAACAUGGAAACGAUGUAGCUUCACCGCCGCAUUGCAUAUAGCUCGGGGAAACGGGAUAGAAAGUAGAUAGCUAAAUAGGGCGCAUUUUGCCGUCAUACAUGCAAACUUACUCAUCAUCAAGCUCAACUAGCAAGUAACGUUAGUUGGCUGCUACAAAAGGAACAGCUGCUCGACAGUGUCUUCAGGUAAAAAAAGAAGACAGAAGAAUUAAAGAUGUUACGGAGGAGGCUCAACCGAUUGUGUGGAGGAGAUGAGAAUCGAGUGGACAGCAGGACAAUCUAUGUAGGACAUCGGCCAUGUCCAGACACAGAGGCCUUCAUCCCCUCUAAAUUCUGUGACAACAGGAUUGUGUCCUCCAAGUACACAGUGUGGAACUUCCUGCCAAAGAAUCUAUUCGAGCAGUUUAGAAGAAUUGCUAAUUUUUACUUCCUCAUCAUAUUCUUGGUUCAGGUGAUUGUUGAUACCCCGACCAGCCCCGUGACCAGUGGUUUACCUCUGUUUUUUGUCAUCACAGUGACGGCCAUCAAACAGGGUUAUGAGGACUGUCUGAGGCAUAAAGCAGACAACGAGGUGAAUAAGUACCUGGUAACGGUGUUAGAGGACGACCGGUCGGUGAAGAAGGAGAGUGAGAAGAUCAAGGUGGGUGAUGUGGUUGAGGUGGUGGAGGACGAGACCUUUCCCUGUGACCUGAUUCUGUUGGAAUCCAGUCGAGAAGAUGGUACUUGUUUUGUCACCACAGCCAGCUUGGAUGGAGAAUCCAACCACAAAACACACUACACAGUGCAAGACACAGAGAAGGACCUGCAGGCUCUCACUGCCACCAUCGAGUGUGAACAACCCCAGCCUGACCUUUACAAGUUUGUGGGUCGAAUGCACAUUUACAAGGCGGAGCAGGAGCCAGCAGUAAGAUCUUUGGGCCCAGAGAACCUUCUCCUAAAAGGUGCUACAUUGAAAAACACCAAAAAGAUUUAUGGUGUUGCAGUAUACACGGGCAUGGAGACGAAGAUGGCGCUGAACUACCAGGGCAAAUCUCAGAAGCGAUCAGCUGUUGAAAAAUCCAUCAAUGCCUUUCUGUUGGUGUAUCUAUGUAUCCUCAUCAGUAAAGCUGUUGUGUGUACUACACUAAAGUAUGUGUGGCAGAGCAAAGAAGGUCAGGAUGAGCCCUGGUACAACCAGAAAACUCAGAAGGAGAAAGACACUAAUAUGUAUUUGAAGAUGUUUACAGACUUCCUCUCCUUCAUGGUCCUCUUCAACUUUAUAAUCCCCGUGUCCAUGUACGUAACCGUGGAGAUGCAGAAAUUCCUGGGCUCUUUUUUUAUCACUUGGGAUAAAGACUUCUUUGACUCUGAAAUCGAAGAAGGCGCGCUUGUCAACACUUCAGACCUCAAUGAGGAGCUUGGCCAGGUGGAAUAUGUAUUCACAGACAAAACGGGCACACUGACCCAGAACAACAUGGAGUUCAUCGAGUGCUGUAUAGAUGGCUUCCAGUACAAACACAGAGACACCCAGAGCGAGGUGGACGGCUUCACUAUGACCGACGGGGUUAUGAAUAAACUGCAUCAGAAGGCUGGGCAGGAGAAAGAGGAGUUGUUCCUGCGGGCCUUGUGUCUGUGUCACACGGUGCAGGUGAAGGAGCCUGGAUCGAAAGAAGCACUUACAGACCAAGUUGACGGGAUCGAUGGGAUCCUGCCCCAGCUGGAGGAGGAAAGAGGCUUCAUCGCAUCCUCUCCUGAUGAGAUCGCACUGGUCAAAGGAGCCAUGAAAUACGGCUUCACCUUCCUUGGUCUGGAGAGCAAGAGCAUGAAGAUAAAGAACAGGGAAAAUAAUAUAGAAGAGUACAAGUUGCUCCAUGUCCUAAACUUUGACCCAGUUAGACGGAGAAUGAGCGUCAUCGUGCAGACCAAAUCAGGGGAGACGUUGCUUUUCUGUAAGGGAGCUGAUUCCUCCAUCUUCCCAAGAGUCAAACCAGAGGAGGUGGACAGGAUCCGCAUGCAUGUUGAGCGAAAUGCAACGGAGGGAUACCGUACACUGUGUGUGGCCUUUAAGCAGCUGAGUGCUGAAGAAUAUGCCAUGGCAGACAAGGGACUGAGUGAUGCUAGACUGGCUCUCCAGGACAGAGAGGAGAAACUCAUAGCCGUGUAUAACCAGGUGGAGACGGGCAUGAGUUUGAUAGGAGCGACCGCUGUGGAGGACCGACUUCAGGAGGAGGCAGCAGAGACCAUGGAGGCCUUGCAGGGUGCUGGGAUGAAGGUUUGGGUGUUGACAGGGGACAAAAUGGAGACGGCAAAGUCUACCUGCUAUGCUUGUCGUCUGUUCCAGCGGGGUACAGAGCUAUUGGAACUGACUGUGCGGACACUGGAGGAUGAGAGGUUAAAGCGUCAGGAGAAACUUUAUGAGUUGCUACAGGAAUACCAUAGAAAAGCAGUGCAGGACGCCCCACCUGUCAAAGCUGGGGUCACCAGGAGCUGGUCUGCAAAUCAGGAUUACGGCUUCAUCAUAGAUGGGGCGACAUUGUCGUUAUUGAUGAACCCACCGCUUGAGGCAGAUGCCAGUCAGUACAAGAGCCUCUUUCUGCAGAUCUGCCAGAACUGCACUGCUGUACUCUGCUGCCGCAUGGCCCCCCUACAGAAAGCUCAGAUAGUGAAGAUGGUGAAGAACUCCAAAGGUUCCCCAAUCACUCUCUCCAUUGGCGAUGGGGCCAAUGAUGUUAGCAUGAUCCUUGAGGCACAUGUGGGCAUUGGUAUUAAAGGUAAGGAGGGCCGUCAAGCUGUGAGGAACAGUGACUACGCCAUUCCUAAACUCAAGCACUUAAAGAAGCUUUUGCUGGCUCAUGGGCAUCUGUACUAUGUGCGCAUUGCGCAUCUCGUCCAGUACUUCUUUUAUAAGAAUCUUUGCUUCAUCUUACCUCAGUUCCUGUACCAGUUUUUCUGUGGAUGCUCUCAGCAGCCCCUGUACGACGCAGCCUAUCUGACGAUGUACAACAUCUGCUUCACCUCCAUGCCCAUUCUGGCCUACAGCCUGCUGGAACAGCACAUAGACAUCGAGAUUCUGCUGGACAACGCCGCCCUCUACAGAGAAAUAGCCAACAAUGCCAUGUUACGCUGGCGCCCCUUCCUCUACUGGACCGUUUUAGGAAUUUUUCAGGGUCUUCUGUUCUUCUUUGGUGUCCGUUUCUUGUUCAGCAAUCCAGCCUUACAGGAUAAUGGGCAGGUCUUUGGAAAUUGGUCUUAUGGAACAAUUGUUUUUACCGUCCUUGUUUUUACUGUUACAUUGAAGCUGGCACUGGACACACGACACUGGACGUGGAUCAACCAUUUUGUGAUAUGGGGCUCUUUGGCUUUCUAUGUUUUCUUCAGUUUCUUCUGGGGCGGCAUCAUAUGGCCGUUUUUGAAGCAGCAGCGUUUGUACUUUGUGUUUGCCAACAUGCUGAGUUCAGUGUCUGCCUGGCUGGUUAUCAUCAUCCUCAUCCUCCUCAGUCUGCUGCCAGAGAUCCUUUUGGUGGUCCUUCGCAAGCCAAGAGGCCCCCAUUCACGACAGAUGAAACGACGGCUUCCCUCCUCUGGAACAUCCACUAUCUUCAUGCUGUCGCAGACUGCUAGCACUCACAGCUUUUCCUGGAGUGACUGAGGUCUCUCUGCCUGCUCCGUUUCUGCUUUUUGUCUCACUGUCCUUGCUCCUUUGGGUUGCCUGCCUGUAUCUUCAGUGUCCUGCCUGCUGUCUCUCCACCUGUUUGUCUCUGCUCCUUCUUUGUGAGGGGCUGUUCGCUAGCUAGGUUGUUCUACUCUGGUACAAACAUGUUUGUCAUGGGUGCUUGGUUCGGAUUGUCAGUCAAAAUAUGUACCACAGUAGCUUUUUUUUAGUCUUGAGGCAUUGUGAGCCGUGGUGGUGGGUGGUCCUCAGUGUGCAUCUGUAAGGGCUGCAGGGUAUGAUGGGGAAUCUUUCAGCUGUCUGUUCCCGGUGCUUGCUGUCUCUGCAUGCCCAGCCAGGAGAAUGCGGCACACAAACACAUACGGGUUUCCUGCAUGCGUGCUCGGCCCAGCCUGCACCGCUCCUCACCCAAACCAAUGACCUUCUGGAUGCAUCAGUGCUGCUUGAUUCAGAAUGUGGUUUUGUGUGUAUGUGAGAGAGAGUGUUUGUCAUGUUAGAAUUGGGGAUUGCACAAAAAGAAAGGGACAUUUUUAGUUUGGACAGUUUAAGUAAUUUGAUGUGUAACUUUAAAAGACAAUACAGUAAUUAGCAUAUUUUCAUGAUUAAACAAAAACGUCAUAAUGGGAUUAAUAAUAAUAAUAAUUAUUAUUAUAUCUUUAUUAUUUUAAAUUAGGUCCCAAAUAGGGUACUAUAGAAUGGCUUUGAGAGUCAAACUCAUUAGUCUACACUUAUCUCUCUGGGUUAUGAUUACAAUUUUACCUAAAUUUUGUAUUAAAUAUGUGAUUUACAGUAUCACAGAAAUCAGUAAGUUUCAGAUUGGUAAGAUUUUUCAGUGUUUUUUUGUAAGAAGUGUCUAAUGCCCACAAAGACUGGAUUUAUUUGAUGCAAAACAGUAUCAUUUAAAAAAUCUUACAAUAGUUUUCUAUUGUAGCAUAUUUUAAAAUAGUUUAUUCCUUUGAUGAUAGUAGAUGAUAGUUUUUCAUCAGUGUUUGUCUUCAGUGUCACAUGAUCCUUCAGAAAUUAUUCUAAUUUUCUCAUUUGAUGAGCAACAAGCCAUUGUUAUCAUCAUCGAUGAAUAGGAAAUCCAAAAGCAGCAUUUAUUUGAAAUAAAAAAUAUUUUGUGACAUAAGGGCAUUUACUGUCACUUCUUGAUAAAAGUAUUGAAUUUUUUUUUUUUUUUUACUGAGCCCAGACUUUGGAAUGGUAGAGAAGUUAGAAUCAUUUAUUUGGCACUUUUUUCCCCCAAAAGUACUGAAAGAAGUGUUAAUUAAAUCAUUAAAAAAACUGGAAUCAUUAUGUGAAAUCAGUGGUUUUCAUGGGUUCAUAUCGUUUGAGUGUUGGCUGACUUUUUUUGUGUGGUCAUAUUUAUAAUCUAGUACAACUGAAUAGGAUUAUGUUUGAAAAAAAUGGCCAUUAUCAUUUCUACCAUGAAGGAUGAUCUAUAUGGAAAUUAAAAACGUAUUAACAUGGCUUCAAAUAUGAAAUCUCAUAAUUGUAAAUAUUUUUCAGUGUUUUGUCUUCUUUUUGAAGAAGGAUGUACUGUAUAGCAGUUUUGUGUUCGGGUGGGUGUGUGUGUGUGUCUAGCUGUCUGUCUGAGGCAUCUUGUCCUAAGUGUCUUUCACCCCCCUCCCACCCUUUUUAGAAAAAGCCAAGUCAGUCGAAUGUUGGGGGCAACCAGUCCUCUCAGUCUUCAGCCAGACCCCUGCUCAUGAGAACCUUUUCAGACGAGUCCAAUCCUGUCAUAUAAACAGCGGUCAGAGGAUUCCUCGACUGACACAUACAGAUGGCUGCUGUCACACCUCUCUCCUACAAGCAUCUGAACGAGCUCUACUGAUGGCCAUGGACAGCCUUGGGUUAAGACUUCUGACCGGACCCUCACACCUGCCAGGGUUGCUGCACUUCUUCCUGCCUGUUUAAAUGAAACAUGACAAUGGAACCAAUUUAAACAGCUUUUCUGUUACAUCUUAUACUAAAGCCUUCCAUUCCAGCACGAUUCCACAAGAACUAUGUUUUCACACUGUUUUCAGCCCUGCCCUACUGCCAUACAUCCCUACCGGGAUGAAUGUGUCUCUGGCUAAGUGGUCAGUAGCGCUCGACUGCUACAGAAUGUACCAACAUCCUUAUUGGUUCUCUUGCAUGCCCGACCCAAAAAAGUCCCAUAAAUGCCACUCUCCAUACUUUGUAGGUAGAAAGUUGUGAUCACAAUCCCAAAUCGUAGUUUAGAGUUUUGUGAUAUGUAGCUGUUCGAGAUCCCUAAAUGUGAGCUCUCUCUAAGAUGCUGCACUGCGGGUCCUGACCCUAUGGGUAUAAAAGCUGCCUUUCAACAACUUGCUGUUUGUUCAACCACAUGGAGUUCUGGGAUAUCCCUCGGAACCCAACAACUCUGUAUGUAUGCAUACGUGUGUGUGAGAAAAUGAAAAUCAAUUUCAGAUUUUCUUCUUAUAAUGUAUUGUCAAAGUCCUUCGAUGUUACUCUUUGUUGAAACGGGGAUCAGUUUACAGUUGGGUUACAAAUUGUACUAGUGAAAAAAAAAAAGUGUGGAAAAUGUUGCUUGAUGCCAAAAAAAAAAAAA